UGCUCUCUCUGCAGCCCUCAGUCUCUUAUUCAACCUGUAGUAUAACGUUCUUAUUACUCUUUAAACUCAAAUUAUUUAUUAUUAUUACGCGGGAAUAAAAUUAAAACUUACAGAAUAAUAACUUGGAUGGUUGGAAUAAUUUUUUAAAAUAAAAUUCAUUUAAAUUUUUGAAUUCUUAAUAAAAGACUUUUAAGUUGAGAUAAAAAAGCUUGUCACUGAAGCAUUUUAACUGCUCGAGUGAUUGCACAUGAGUGAAAUGAAAAGGUUGAAGGUGGAUAGUAAAAAAUAAAAUAUUUUACGUGGAUAUAAAAACACGCGGUGGUAAAAAGUGAUAGUAUAAAAUGAAAAAACGGAUGCAUGGGUACGAGUAUGUACAAGUGUUGGAGUGGUGUGUGAAGAUUGAAGAAAUGCCAUUGGAAAAUAGAAUAUAGGAAUCCUUUAUAAAAUAUAUAGGGAGAUAUAUAAAAUGUUACGAGUCCCUUGGACGAUUGAACUCGACGGAAAGUUUCAAUUUCGCGCUCACCGGUCAGUGUCUCGGCGGGAUACCUAGAGACAGUGCGAUAUCGUUCUCGUGAGAGGUGAUUAGCUCUAACAAGAUACAGUUAAUAUUGUCGGGUGAAAAUAACAAACUAUAUUCUGUUGAAUUUUUAUUUAAGGGUGCAAGUCAGUUAAUUUAUCAAACGAUUGCAAGUUAAAUAAAAAUCAUCCAAAGAAAAUUUCUAGUUUGGAAAAUCGAAUGAUACGCCCUGGUGAAUAAUUUCACUUGCCCUCUGUAUAUAUAUCACGAAAUAAAAUAAAAGAAA